UAAUCAAUGCUAUGGUAGUAUUGAGGAAAGAAGUCGUUUACGUCAUAACACAUUUUAUCAAGUUAUUACAACCCAGAAUCAUUACUUCUUUGUUGGAUUGAAAGCAUAAGACAGAGAUACACAAUACUUACUCUGCUUCGUGAACUUCAUGGGUGACGUAUUCGAAUUCUUUCUUGAAUGCUAGACUAUAUACUACAACGAAUAUUAUGCCGAAGAAAAAAGGAGAUAGUAGUUAGUUCUAUCUUCGGUUAUUCCACAGAGUAAAGUGCGUGCUUUGUAAUGCGUACUUUUUUCUUUGAAUGUGGAAUGUCAGCUGUUGAAUUUAGAGGGAAAAUGUUCAUCAUGAUCACAACUAUUUUCAUAAGGAUGUGAACUCAAGAAUUUCAAUUGAGCCUCCCAAUCCGGUUGCAAAUCCUACAUCACAUGAUAUUGAUGUACAGUCAAAAAGUGUGGCCCUUGAUCAUGAUUAUGAUGGUAAUGGGUUAGGAAAUAAGUCGCCACAAGAUUUGUCGUUGGAAGCAACACCAGGUACUGAGACAAUUCAAGCUCACCCAGAAUCUGACUCGCUAGAGGUGCUUCAUGAAUUCUCAUUUAUAGAUAAAGAAGAGUAUGAUGAUGUUUUGUUGCAUGAAAUGGAGGUCGAGAUUCAUCCUAAACCUUCUAUAAUAACAGGACAUAGAAUUGUUGAUUUGCAACACGUUUUAAAUUAGGCAUUGCAUUUACAAGUUGACCAUUCAAAGAAAUGUACCGGAGGUCAAUUGGAACCGAUACUAGAAGAGAGAAACGGCUUGGUUAGCACAAUAACCUUUAAAUGCAAUUAUUGCGGUUUUGAAAUAAAGCGGUGCACACAUCCUGGAAGAAAUUACGCAGUUCAAAACAUUAAUACGGCAGCUGUGUGGUCAACCAUUUCUGCUGGAAAUACUUUCAGUAACUUGCAGGAACGUCUAGCAAUUAUGAAUAUUCCUCCAUUGACCUAUAGUAUGUUCCAAAAAAUUGAAUGCUUUUUAAGCAAAGAGUGGGAAGAUCGUCUGUGGAUUUCUAUUGAAAAAGCAGGCAUAGAGGAGUAUGAUAUAGCUAUUUCAAAAGGACAAGUGGACGAAAAUGGUUUGGCAUGGGUUGUCGUGUACACAGAUUGCGGCUGGAGUCAACGGUCUUAUGGGCAUAGUUACAAUGCUUCGUCAGGAGUCGCUGUAAUAAUUGGGAAAGCAACUGGUAAAAUUUUAUUCUUGGGCGUGAGAAAUAAAUAUUGCUCAGUAUGUGCAAGAGCUAAGAAGGAAGAUGAAAUUAAAGAACACAUCUGUUACAAAAACUGGACGGCAUCAUCGGGGGCGAUGGAAUCUGAUAUUAUUGUCGAAGGGUUCAAUCACAGCAUUUCUAUGCACAAAAUUAAAUAUUUAAA